rnacentral:miRNA from 1 species
AAGAUCGUUGUUUAAACGCGGGAU